UGUGCCCUACGGGGCGCAGCAGUGAGGAAUAUUGGUCAAUGGGCGGGAGCCUGAACCAGCCAAGUCGCGUGAAGGAAGAAGGUACUUAGUAUUGUAAACCUCUUUUGUCGGAGAACAAAACCCGGGACGUGUCCCGGACUGCGUGUAUCCGAAGAAAAAGCAUCGGCUAACUCCGUGCCAGCAGCCGCGGUAAUACGGAGGAUGCGAGCGUUAUCCGGAUUUAUUGGGUUUAAAGGGUGCGUAGGCGGUCUGUUAAGUCAGCGGUAAAAUUGCGGGGCUCAACCCCGUCGAGCCGUUGAAACUGG
rnacentral:rRNA from 1 species